rnacentral:lncRNA from 1 species
GGGGGCCCUAUAUAUGAGUUUUUCUUUUUUGACCGCCGAUUGUCAUGUUUAAUGGAUAUUACUUGAUCUUUGGUUUGCUAUUUGAUAUACAUGCAAUAAUUUUGUACUUGAGCUAACCUUAUUUCCAUGAUAUCACACUAUUACUUGCUGAUAAGGUACGAUCUUACUCCCACUUUGCUUAUUCUUAUGCAUGAUUCAUUUUAUUAUUUAAUCAUUUCAUUGGUAUCCAUUACUUUUCUUAUCACUUGUCACACUUGCUUUACCUUAUUUAGUAGAGACCUUAUUAUAGGGCUUAGAGGAAGUAACCU